AUUGAACGCUGGCGGCAGGCCUAACACAUGCAAGUCGAGCGAGCGGCGGACGGGAGAGUAAUGUAUGGGGAUCUGCCCGAUAGAGGGGGUUAACUACUGGAAACGAUUGCUAAUACCGCAUACUUUCGGAUGAAUCCAUUUGGGAUUAGCUAGUAGGUGGGGUAAAGGCUUACCUAGUCGACGAUCUCUAGCUGGUCUGAGAGGAUGAUCAGCCACACUGGAACUGAGACACGGCCCAGACUCCGACGGGAGGCAGCAGUGGGGAAUAUUGCACAAUGGGCGCAAGCCUGAUGCAGCCAUGCCGCGUGUAUGAAGAAGGCCUUAGGAUUGUAAAGCACUUUAAGCGGGGAGGCGUUACCCACAGAAGAAGCACCGACUAACUCCGUGCCAGCAGCCGCGGUAAUUC
rnacentral:rRNA from 1 species